GGCAAACUAGCUCAGUUGGUUAGAGCGUACGCUUCACACUGCAACUGCACCGGCAUCGCCGUCUGCAUCUGCAUGUAAACGCGUAAGGCCGGCGGUUCGACCCCGCCGUUCGUCA